ensembl:snRNA U6 U6 spliceosomal RNA
GUGCUCCCUUCAGCAGCACUAUACUAAAAUUGGAACAAUACAGAGGAGAUUAGCAUGGC